UACGGGGAGAGCGUCGUCACCAUAGCAACAGAAACUGUCACUUGUUAAGGGGUGAGGCGUACACGCCAUCUAGUGAUAGAGUCGAACAGCGUGAAGUCCUACUUGUGGCCCUUCUCAGCACUGCUGCUGUAAUCUGCGGAUCUCUGCAUGCAGCCCCUUCAGCGUGUUGGCGUGGUCCUGCUGGAGGAAGAGCAGGUUUUUCUGUGCACUCUGCAACUGAUUUUCCAGUGUUACAUUUGCUGACGCCAUGGUGGAUUUUGUUCGGACACACAACUGGCCUCGCAACCUCCAGGCAGACAUGACAGAAAGGAGACGAGGUGCACGCGUGAUGUAUGCGUUGCAGCCACUGUGUGACUGUGCACUGACCCACUUCCAGCAUUUGGCACACUGGCACUACUGCCUCUGUCCUGAGUGGAGAGACGUUGAGGCCCAGCAACAAACAGCCCUCUGUCACUGGGAAGAAGUCGUACUUAGUUUUAAUGGCCCUAAAUUCUGCUCCUAAAUUUAUAAUUACUCCAAGAUUUCUGAAGUUACUGUUCUGCUGGUGUGCACAUGUAUAAAUUUGCACACAUGCACAGAAGCUAUAAAUCUGCACUGUAAGUGUCCUACAGAACUACCGUUGUUAUAAUUAACACCUGCAGCUCUGCUGAUGACCCACCAUCACUUUUACAAACCCUUUUACAGAUUAAAAAAACCCAGCUAGAGUAAGGUUUGACAAAUAUAAUCAGCAUGGCAGCCAUCAGCAUGAUGGGAUCUGCGAGGUGAGUGGGGUGCAUAGUCUGGCAGUAAUGUUAUUAUAAAACUUGAACUCUGGGGUUGGGUAACAUUAACUCCUGAGCCAAUUAAAGCACAUUAAAUGCUGGAGACUCAUCGGGCAAAUGUACCCCUGUGUGUCCCAUACUCUGGCUGUUAUUCUUCAAUGCUCCCCUGCAAAGUCUCUUUGCUGUUGGGGUUAACGGAUAUUAAGACAUCUAAAAACGUUGAAGAGAAGAGAAGAGAAGAGAAGAGAAGAGAAGAGAAGAGAAGAGAAGAGAAGAGAAGAUGACGAAGAUGUGUUUUCAGCUGUGAUGUUAAUAUGGGCUAUGGUUAAUAUGGGUUUUGUAUUAAAUCCAAACAGGCCACUAGGUGUCUCCUGUCACU